rnacentral:lncRNA from 1 species
CAGAGGGCAGAUGCUUUUAUGCUGCAAUCACUUGUCUUGGUGUUGCUUCCCCCAGACCGGUGCCAUCUCUACGACAGUUGGCGAGGAUGAAAGAAGCUUCGCAUUGCAUACAGAGUGGCUCAUCUGUGAGUCCCGCAAGAGUUCUCCCGAUGAAGAUCAAAUCGAUAAAAGGAUGGCUUUUACGUGUGGCCAAAGACUCUGACGUCACAACAGCUAGUGUUCGUGAGGCAAAGAUGAAGUACCCGUACAGGACAGACUUCGAGAGGUUUUGCAGUGACUUUGCAAGGCUCACUAAGACUGACCCAUAGCGUUGCAUCGCACAAGGGAUCGACAAAAUUGUGAAAAUGACAGAACAGCGACAGAUUCCUUGCCAAACAGCUGUAUUGGCAUUGCUUGAAAAGGCGCAACGAAUGUCUCCUGACAGCCUGCGAACACACCACAUCCUGACAGUGGCAUCCCUUUGGAUUCUGUCUUUCAAUGUCAAGGAACUCGGCCGUCGGUCAUCAUUGUUUGAGC